rnacentral:rRNA from 1 species
AACGAACGCUGGCGGCAGGCCUAACACAUGCAAGUCGAACGCCGUAGCAAUACGGAGUGGCAGACGGGUGAGUAACGCGUGGGAACAUACCCUCCGGUUCGGAAUAACUCAGGGAAACUUGAGCUAAUACCGGAUACGUCCAAGGUUUUAAUCGGCCUUGGAGAAAGAUUUAUCGCUGGAGGAUUGGCCCGCGUCUGAUUAGCUUGUUGGUGAGGUAAUGGCUCACCAAGGCGACGAUCAGUAGCUGGUCUGAGAGGAUGAUCAGCCACAUUGGGACUGAGACACGGCCCAAACUCCUACGGGAGGCAGCAGUGGGGAAUAUUGGACAAUGGGCGCAAGCCUGAUCCAGCGAUGCCGCGUGUGUGAAGAAGGCCUGCGGGUUGUAAAGCACUUC